UGAGUAACACGUAUCCAACCUGCCGUCUACUCUUGGACAGCCUUCUGAAAGGAAGAUAAUACAAGAUGGCAUCAUGAGUCCGCAUGUUCACAUGAUUAAAGGUAUUCCGGUAGACGAUGGGGAUGCGUUCCAUUAGAUAGUAGGCGGGGUAACGGCCCACCUAGUCUUCGAUGGAUAGGGGUUCUGAGAGGAAGGUCCCCCACAUUGGAACUGAGACACGGUCCAA
rnacentral:rRNA from 1 species